GGCGAGUGAAGCGGGAUGAGCUCAAAUUUGAAAGCUGGCAGCAAUGUCCGCGUUGUAAUCUCGAGAGUUGUUUUCCGCGCUGGACCACGUACAAGUGCCUUGGAAUAGGCUGUCAUAGAGGGUGAAAAUCCCGUACUUGAUGUGGACGCCCAGUGCUUUGUGAUACAUCUUCGAAGAGUCGAGUUGUUUGGGAAUGCAGCUCAAAAUGGGUGGUAAAUUCCAUCUAAAGCUAAAUAUUGGGGAGAGACCGAUAGCGAACAAGUACCGUGAGGGAAAGAUGAAAAGCACUUUGGAAAGAGAGUUAAACAGUACGUGAAAUUGUCAAAAGGGAAGCAUUUGAAGUCAGACGUGUAUUGUAGUAUUCAGCCUUGCUUUUGCUUGGUGUAUUUGCUAUUGUACAGGCCAACAUCAGUUUUGAACGACGGAUAAGGGUAUUUGGAAUGUGGCAUCCUGGAUGUGUUAUAGCCUUUUACGGAUACGUCGUUUGGGACUGAGGAACGCAGCGCGCCGCAAGGCAGACCUUCGGGUACUUUCGCGCUUAGGAUGUUGGCGUAAUGGCUUUA
rnacentral:rRNA from 1 species